rnacentral:rRNA from 1 species
ACUGAAUACAUAGGUUAACGAGGCGAACCGGGGGAACUGAAACAUCUAAGUACCCCGAGGAAAAGAAAUCAACCGAGAUUCCCCCAGUAGCGGCGAGCGAACGGGGAGCAGCCCAGAGUCUGAAUCAGCUUGUGUGUUAGUGGAACGGUCUGGAAAGUCCGACGGUACAGGGUGAUAGUCCCGUACACCAAAAUGCACAGGCUGUGAACUCGAAGAGUAGGGCGGGACACGUGGUAUCCUGUCUGAAUAUGGGGGGGACCAUCCUCCAAGGCUAAAUACUCCUGACUGACCGAUAGUGAACCAGUACCGUGAGGGAAAGGCGAAAAGAACCCCGGCGAGGGGAGUGAAAAAGAACCUGAAACCGUGUACGUACAAGCAGUGGGAGCACCUUCGGGUGUGACUGCGUACCUUUUGUAUAAUGGGUCAGCGACUUAUAUUCUGUAGCAAGGUUAACCGUAUAGGGGAGCCGCAGGGAAACCGAGUCUUAACUGGGCGUUAAGUUGCAGGGUAUAGACCCGAAACCCGGUGAUCUAGCCAUGGGCAGGUUGAAGGUUGGGUAACACUAACUGGAGGACCGAACCGACUAAUGUUGAAAAAUUAGCGGAUGACUUGUGGCUGGGGGUGAAAGGCCAAUCAAACCGGGAGAUAGCUGGUUCUCCCCGAAAGCUAUUUAGGUAGCGCCUCGUGAAUUCAUCUUCGGGGGUAGAGCACUGUUUCGGCUAGGGGGUCAUCCCGACUUACCAACCCGAUGCAAACUACGAAUACCGAAGAAUGUUAUCACGGGAGACACACGGCGGGUGCUAACGUCCGUCGUGAAGAGGGAAACAACCCAGACCGCCAGCUAAGGUCCCAAAGUCAUGGUUAAGUGGGAAACGAUGUGGGAAGGCACAGACAGCCAGGAUGUUGGCUUAGAAGCAGCCAUCAUUUAAAGAAAGCGUAAUAGCUCACUGGUCGAGUCGGCCUGCGCGGAAGAUGUAACGGGGCUAAACCAUGCACCGAAGCUGCGGCAGCGACACUAUGUGUUGUUGGGUAGGGGAGCGUUCUGUAAGCCUGCGAAGGUGUGCUGUGAGGCAUGCUGGAGGUAUCAGAAGUGCGAAUGCUGACAUAAGUAACGAUAAAGCGGGUGAAAAGCCCGCUCGCCGGAAGACCAAGGGUUCCUGUCCAACGUUAAUCGGGGCAGGGUGAGUCGACCCCUAAGGCGAGGCCGAAAGGCGUAGUCGAUGGGAAACAGGUUAAUAUUCCUGUACUUGGUGUUACUGCGAAGGGGGGGACGGAGAAGGCUAUGUUAGCCGGGCGACGGUUGUCCCGGUUUAAGCAUGUAGGCUGGUUGUCCAGGCAAAUCCGGAUAAUCAAGGCUGAGGUGUGAUGACGAGGCACUACGGUGCUGAAGUAACAAAUGCCCUGCUUCCAGGAAAAGCCUCUAAGCAUCAGGUAACAUUAAAUCGUACCCCAAACCGACACAGGUGGUCAGGUAGAGAAUACCAAGGCGCUUGAGAGAACUCGGGUGAAGGAACUAGGCAAAAUGGUGCCGUAACUUCGGGAGAAGGCACGCUGGUGUGUAGGUGAAGUCCCUGCGGAUGGAGCUGAGACCAGUCGAAGAUACCAGCUGGCUGCAACUGUUUAUUAAAAACACAGCACUGUGCAAACACGAAAGUGGACGUAUACGGUGUGACGCCUGCCCGGUGCCGGAAGGUUAAUUGAUGGGGUUAUCCGUAAGGAGAAGCUCUUGAUCGAAGCCCCGGUAAACGGCGGCCGUAACUAUAACGGUCCUAAGGUAGCGAAAUUCCUUGUCGGGUAAGUUCCGACCUGCACGAAUGGCGUAAUGAUGGCCAGGCUGUCUCCACCCGAGACUCAGUGAAAUUGAACUCGCUGUGAAGAUGCAGUGUACCCGCGGCAAGACGGAAAGACCCCGUGAACCUUUACUAUAGCUUGACACUGAACAUUGAGCCUUGAUGUGUAGGAUAGGUGGGAGGCUUUGAAGCGUGGACGCCAGUCUGCGUGGAGCCAACCUUGAAAUACCACCCUUUAAUGUUUGAUGUUCUAACGUUGGCCCCUGACCGGGGUUGCGGACAGUGUCUGGUGGGUAGUUUGACUGGGGCGGUCUCCUCCCAAAGCGUAACGGAGGAGCACGAAGGUUAGCUAAUCCUGGUCGGACAUCAGGAGGUUAGUGCAAUGGCAUAAGCUAGCUUGACUGCGAGCGUGACGGCGCGAGCAGGUGCGAAAGCAGGUCAUAGUGAUCCGGUGGUUCUGAAUGGAAGGGCCAUCGCUCAACGGAUAAAAGGUACUCCGGGGAUAACAGGCUGAUACCGCCCAAGAGUUCAUAUCGACGGCGGUGUUUGGCACCUCGAUGUCGGCUCAUCACAUCCUGGGGCUGAAGUAGGUCCCAAGGGUAUGGCUGUUCGCCAUUUAAAGUGGUACGCGAGCUGGGUUUAGAACGUCGUGAGACAGUUCGGUCCCUAUCUGCCGUGGGCGCUGGAGAAUUGAGGGGGGGCUGCUCCUAGUACGAGAGGACCGGAGUGGACGCAUCACUGGUGUUCGGGUUGUCAUGCCAAUGGCACUGCCCGGUAGCUAAAUGCGGAAGAGAUAAGUGCUGAAAGCAUCUAAGCACGAAACUUGCCCCGAGAUGAGUUCUCCCUGAGACUUUAAGUCUCCUGAAGGAACGUUGAAGACGACGACGUUGAUAGGCCGGGUGUGUAAGCGCAGCGAUGCGUUGAGCUAACCGGUACUAAUGAACCGUGAGGCUUAACCUUACAACGCCGAAG